rnacentral:rRNA from 1 species
AGGAUAAACGCUGGCGGCGUGCUUCAGGCAUGCAAGUCGAACGGACACUUCGGUGUCAGUGGCGGACGGGUGAGUAACACGUAAGUAACCUGCCCAGAAGUGGGGAAUAACUAGCCGAAAGGCUGGCUAAUACCGCAUGUGAUGUUUGCCCCCUGGGGCAUUCAUGAAAGGCGAAAGUCGCUUCUGGAGGGGCUUGCGGCCGAUUAGCUAGUUGGUGGGGUAAUGGCCUACCAAGGCUUCGAUCGGUAGCUGGUCUGAGAGGACGGACAGCCACACGGGGACUGAGAUACGGCCCCGACUCCUACGGGAGGCAGCAGCUAGGAAUCUUGGGAAUGGGCGAAAGCCUGACCCAGCAACGCCGCGUGGGCGAUGAAGGCCUUCGGGUCGUAAAGCCCUUUUGCAGGGGAAGAUGAUGACGGUACCCUGCGAAUAAGCCACGGCUAACUACGUGCCAGCAGCCGC